rnacentral:lncRNA from 1 species
AUGGCGGCGCAAGGCACCUCCUCGGUCUCUUCACCAAACGUGUCUCCCACUUCAGUGUCGCCGCCGACUCUGCCCCCGCCCUCUACUGGGAUUUCGAAGUCUCUCCUGGAGGCGAAGGCGAGCUCUUUGAGCCCACAGUCUCUCUCGGCCGGCCACGAGGACUUGUUGCCCCUCGCAGUAUUUUAUGGGCCGCUGGACGCAAAAAACCCACUCCUGGCCUCCUGUGAGAAGGAGAUUCAGGAGUUGCUAGACUUCAUGAAGAGAAAGAAGACUUUAGCUACAACGGAGGAACAGAAAUAUGAGUUCCACCGGCUUUGUGCCACCUCUUUGUUUAAUAUCUGGACCAAAUACGCCCCCCGGCUGCCAGCUGCCUAUUACAACGAGAAGCUUCUGAAGGUUGGAGAUAGACUUUGUGAAAUGAAAGAAUAUAAAUUGGCCCUUUUACAAUGCUAUGGCAGAUAUCUUCAGCAGUUCAGCAUCAACUUUGAUGAGAAUAAAGCAGACGUGAAUCAAUUCAAAACUGUCUUUUUCCCAAAAGGCUUUGGAGACAAAACUGCACCACAUACAUUUCAUGCUUUAAAUGGCAAAAAUAUUUGCAACUACCAGCUGGUCUGUGACAGUGAUGUGAACCUGCAGAAUAAAGAGUCUGUGAUCCACUGUCUGCAAAUCUUGUCCUCCUUCAGGCUCAUCAUGCAGGUGGCUUUGCCACAGGAGCACCUGUGCUGGAUUAUCUUCAAUGGUACCAUUUACAUUUAUACUAUUUGCAGAAAAUUGAUGAUCAGAGGUCAUUCUUCCAAGGCCUUGGAAUACCUCCUGUGGGCCAGUAUAUGUAUGGAGUCCUCAGUGCCUCUCCUGUCCAUCAGGUACUUGACGUGGAGAGCUACUCUUUACACAGCUGUCUGCCAGUGCUACUAUGACUGCCAAGCUGGUGUCCCUGGAGAGGCAUUUGCUCGACGUGCCUUAGCUAAAAUUGAUGAGUUACGGCAACUGGAAUUAAUGAGUUCCUCACAACCACAGGAAGAAUCCAGAGAAUAUUAUAGAGAGGCCACAAUAAAGAUGGCAGUCAUGAUCUUCAAAAGAGGAGUAUUUGAAUCUAGAAGAAAAAACAAAAGUUUCUUUAGACCAAAGAUAAGAGUUAACAUAAAGGAAGCACAAACUAUGCCAUGGCCACGUACGGUCACAGAAAAGCUGCUGGAAGAGUUGUUUGACAGCACUGCCUCCCGGUUUCUGGCUGUCUUGGAAUCUCUCUCUGACUCAAAUCGGCGAGUACUACAGACUGGACCUGUUUUUACAGAUGAAGUAGAAGUUCGUGAUGUUGUCUCAGAACUAUUUAUGGCAGGAAAAGAACUUUUAAUAAUGUCAAAUAUUGGUGCAGAUGGGAUACUUGAUUUUCCAAAAGCACAUCUUCUAGAACUUAUUAUAAAAAGGAAGAAUCUUAUUUCUGUGAAUGCUGCUGUGAAAUUUAUAAAAUUAGCUUUUAUGUAUGAGGAAUGGAGUUUAUUUGAAUCUGCAGCUGGGCAGCUCCUUGAUUUUCUCCAGAGGCAGGAUGACCCAGAGUCAAAGAAAGUGGAAAAGGAUUUAAUUCUUCUUGUUGCGAUAGAACCUUUGAUCAAUGUAAAGAGAAACAAAGGUUUGAUUUUUCCUUUUGACAACUACAAAGAAGGUCAAGUCUAUGUAAAAAAAAUUGCUGCUCACGAUACUUGUGCGAAGUCUUGUGGAUACUCAGAAGACGUUUUCCAUUUGGCGACAACCUUGUAUUCCUGUGUCUGUGACUCUCCGCAGAAUGCUCAGCCGGAUAAGGAAAUCGUUGUGGACAUGAUAAUGUUCCUGUGGCAGAAAUGCAAAUUAGGAAUGCAGCGGGUCACUGUGUCCAAGAAUGACUACGCAAAGUUUACCCAGAAGAUCAGUACUAAUAAAUGGAUUUAUCUUCUGUGGCAGAUAAAUGAAAUCAUUCACUGCUGUAAGAUGGAAGACAUUGACGUUGUGAUGGUGGCAGAGAUCACGUUACGAUUAAGUGAAAUAUUGGAGUCUUUAGGAAACCCAAGAAGAAAAUUUAAAAAAUUUCUAGAUGUAUCUUUAAGGAAAGGGACUAGUGAAACCUUUGGGGCUCCAAAAGGGAGCAUAGAUAUUCUUCCAAUAAUAAAGAAAAAACCUGAAGAACAGUUAUUUUUGGCCUAUGAACUUCUUGACAGAGCCAUUGGUGGCAUAAAUUUGAACUGCAUGUUAACUGCUUUGCCAAAUGGAUCAUCAGUGAUUGACCAUUGCUAUGCCACGCACAACCACUAUGUAGAUGGAGACAUGUGCAAACCAGUCACACCGAAUAAUUUCAUAAUGGAUUUGCAUCUUGAACUAAUUCAAGCCCAGCACCGAAUAGCUGUUGUGCUUCUUGACCAGUUGCAAGUUUUGCAGACUCCAACUGUGAGCAAAAAUACAUCUACCAAAGGUACAGAGAAGCUAAAAAAACCUGCAAGCCCUGAUUGUUUUACAGAAUUAAGUGUGAUGAAUAAAAUAAGGAAGAAUAAGCUAUCUAAAGCAAUUUAUUUGAUGCAGAAAACUCUUCUAAUAUUUGAGAAAGAUGCAACCUGUUCUUCUCUACAGAACUACUUGACGGAAGCAUAUUCUUUGAUUGAGAAGACCGAAGCAGAACAAAGUAUACAAUAUUCACAUCAGAAAUGUGUGGAAACUGCCAAAGGAAAGAAGAGCAGAGUCCCUCCUCCACCCAUUCUGCUCUCCCGAACUUACCGUUCUGUGACAUUAAAACCUGCCCCAUUUGUUUCUGAUGUUAAGGUCUGCUGGUAUUGCAUUUUGGGUCGCAAAGCGGAAGGAAGCUAUGGAAAAGUAAGACUAAACAAUAAUCAUCUCCCAAACUCAGGAGAAGCGAUACCAGCGGAUGGCAAAAGUGUUUUUGAGGUAAAAGGUUUAGAAACCAAUGAAAAAUACGUCUUUGCAGUUGCAGCUUACUGUUCUAGUGGAAAGCUGAUUGGUGAUGCUAUUGGCGAGACAACUAAACCAAUUCUGGUUUACCCACCUCUUUCUGCUGUUACUACUCGGAUGUUAUUGACGCAGGUUGCCUAUCAGACUGGUAACUAUGAUCUGGCUAAGAAAGUUUUCUCACCAGUCUGGGAUUAUUUUGUUGCUUCACCACCUCAGGGUGACCAAUCCAUUAUUUGUUUAAGUAAUAUAAUGACUAUUACACAGAGAAGAUUACAUUCAGAUAUUUUGACAGAGAGUUCUUCCAUUCUCUUAUAUCUUUUUCUUAGAAAUAUUUUUGUAACAAGUGACAUUAAAAUUAAAGAAGAAAAUUUUUUCUGUGAUAAUAUUAAAGGCAAUGAGAUUUUCCCUUCUCAACAAAUUGCUAGACUGAUUGAAUGUGAGAGAGUAUUGGUGGCAUUGGAACUGAGCAACUAUCUAAAUGAUUCCAGUUACGCCCUUCAGGCUGUGACUCAGUGUUACGGCCUCCUUGCUCCUAUCAUUUAUCACAAUAUUGUUUUGGUACCUGUUGUACAGAUCUUGAUAAAGUGUGUGGUGGUUUUGCAAGGACUACCAAAUGUCAUCCACUUAAAGAAACAUCUUGCAAGCUUUGAAAGUGUACAGCAUAUGAUAGCUUGCUGUAUCUUCUACAUAACAAAGGGUUCUUCCAAGAAGUCUUGCAAGAAUAAGAAGCCACAGCAGGUAUUAGUACCUGAAAAAAUAAAUGAACAGCUGGUUUUAUUGGAGACACAUCUACUCAGACUGACAAAGCAAUAUAUUACAACUGAACUCUCGGGAGCAGAAGAUCCCAUAUUUCUUUACCCUAUAGUUUUAAACUGGUCGGUCAAAGGUGCUGUGAAAGAAGUUAUGAAAUUUAAGCAGAGACCUAGAUUCCUCGAAUUCUUUACACAAGUUAUGCAAAAAUGUAUGCAUGAUGAAAAAUUUCAACCUAUGUUGGAGAUAACAAAUCCUGUCUAUGACUUCUUGAAAAGGAGGAAUGAGUCCCUUCUUGGAAUAAAAAAACUGAAAUACAAGGAUACUUUUUCUAAAAAGGUCAUCAAACCUGUGAAGAAGUACAGAGCCGCAGUAGUGGAGAUUGGAAAAACUACAGAAAUGAAGCCAAAAAAAAAAGCUAAAAAAAAGGAAACUCUAAGAGAAUUUUUACAUAAAAAUCCCUUUAUUUCUGAAAUGCCGGAGCAUGAAAGAAAUAAGAGAGCUGAUGUUCGAAAAGUAGCACAUCGAUUCCUGGUGGAAAACUUGAAUCCUUUAAUAUUAAGUUAUGUUAAAAAGAAGAGGUUCCAUCAAAUAUUUCUUGAGGAGAUGCCCUGGAAAGCUCAGAUGAACCUGUAUCUGGCAAGCGCACACUUCAACCUGCUUUUAACAAAGCUAGGGGAACGUACAAAGAUAAAAUUUGGUUCUUCACCAAUAAUGGUCAGUUUCCGAUCAUGUGACCCUAAUAUGUUCUCACUGUAUAAUUCAGGAACAGUAUUACCAACAGGAAAAAUGACUCUAGAAAACUAUAAAGUGUUGCUUGAUUUCCUUCUUACAGCUAAAAAAAGAAAGGCUCACUUACCAUCAGAUGCUGAAGAAUUUUUGGCAUUUCUUAAUUCCAAAAUGAGUGGUGAAAAUGUUUCCAAGACCCAAACAGUUUAUGAAUCAGACUCUCAGUCGGGACUUAGCAGUAAAGAAAAGGAUCGAUCUGCAAAUGUGGCUCUCUUGGAUCAUUUUAUGAAAAUCUUUUUAUAUUGCAGGAGAGCAAUGGUUCUUGCUCAUCGUGGUGGCUAUUGGACUCUGCUUCAGAACUGCUGUCGGGCCCUUUGGAACUUUACUCAGGAGUUACAAAUACUGCAUAAACAAACAGUGGAUCUGUAUAAGACAUUUCCGAUUAGCCAGGAUAAUUUCCUCUGUAUCUCUGUUUUACCAUUCUAUUUGGGAGCAGAAUUACUUAUUGACAUGUUAAUAGAACUACAGAAUACUGAUUCUAUUAAGACUAUUGAUGAAAAAGGAGAGUUCAGUGUCCCGAGUUGCUACGGAAAUAUUAAAAAUGAUAAAGGUGGUUCCAGCCUUACCUUUGAGCAUCCUCUGGAUGACGUCAAUGUGGUCGAUUUGAAAUGGAUCCAUGACUUUGUAUUAAAAUCUCUGGAACUUGUCUAUCAAGUAGAAAAAUGGGAAACACUCGUAUCACUUGCCAUUCAGUUCAAUGCAGUUUCGCAUGAAAGAUAUACAGAGCAAGUGACUCCACUCCUGGUUUACGCGCAGCGCCAGCUUCUACUGCAAAUAUCCAAAUGCAAGGGCCCAGACAUCAGCCAGCAGGCUUGUGUAAGAUAUGAGACUGAAUACAAACAGAAGAUAACCUGCCGAAAUUUCGUUGGAAUACAGCUCAAGAUUAAUCCUCCAACCAAUAAAGGGACAGCUAUAGGACAGCGAGCAGAUGUCCUUAAAAAGCUUAUCCAUUCAGAAUACAGCAGAGCCAAAGAGCUCCUCUGUGUGCCUGUGGACGUGACAGACACUCUGAGAUGUUUUAGAGAGACCUUGGAAAAAUCCAAAUAUCACAACAGAUCAAUCCGGCACAGCAGAAAGUUGCUUUCGUUAUUUCUCGCACAGACACAAGGAGACAAAGGAGGAGUGAACAAUUUAAAAUUGGCUGCUGGGAAAGUGGAAUUUUCCCUGGGGACAGAAGAGAUGCACAUGCCAACACCCCCCGACCUUUCUCAGGAGCACUUCCGAGUUUUCAGCUCAGUGGAGAAGAGCAAGCUUCCCUCCUCACAACUUGGACUCGUAAUUUCUUCUUAUUAUGAAACUAUUAAUGUUCUGAAAACCAGCAAUCAAAGAAGUCUUAAUGUUCAGGCAUUGCAUGAACUUGGAAAUCUUCUCAUCUUCGCACAGAAGAAAAGGGCUGCUUUUAAGUGUUGGAGUCAAGCUCUGGAUGAAAUUUUCAGAAAAGAAGAUGUGCUCCAUACAUGGAAGGAGCUUGGCAGCUCACUCACCAAUGCCACUGAUGGCCGGUCACCUCCAGGUUCCAAAGACUACAGUGAGGAGCUCCUGUCCAAAGUCGGCAUCUGGGGGUGUUUGCAGGGAGCGGUGAUAUCAGCAAAGAUAGCACAAUUUAUUCAGACAUUGGAUGUUGAAAAGAGAACCAAUUGUUGCCUUUUAUCAGCAUUUCUGUUUCAGGGUUUGCUUAGAACCACACUACCACAUCCUAAAGCUGAACGUUGCUAUGCUCAGUAUGAAAUCACUCAGCUUCUCCCAGGCAUUGAGCUCUUCUCAGACAGAUACCGGGCUGACAUCUGCUCUGUCAUUGCGAGUUUGUAUUAUGUCAUCCGUGAGCUGCACUUUGCUAAGCAAAAUCUAGUAAUUCUGCCUCUCCUUGCAUUGUACCAAUAUUUUGUUUCUGUAAUUUGCCAAGACUUUGUCAGAAAUCUGGAAGCAAGAAUCCUCAAGAUAGAAGUCCUUACAGAUUUAGGAUUCUUUUCUGAAGCCUUUCAUGAGCUAUCCCAGAUAUUUUAUGCAAAAAAUAUGCCUUCUUCAGUACCCACCAGCUAUAAACCUACUGGAAAAAUGAAGCAAUUUCAAUCUUUUGACUCGGGAAAACCUCUUAUUAGUAAAGAAAAUAUGCAGGCACUUGAUGAUUUAAUAAAUAAAGGCAUGCCUGUAAUUCUGGUUACAGUUAGCCAGCAACAUCUCUUAAAUAAGUUUUUAUUUGUUAAAGCAUACUUUUUCAUAAAUGUGGCUGCAACAAUAAAUUGUGUCCCAGAGCAGAUAAUGAAACCAGUUGGCCACGGAGUUAUGAAUGAGAAAAGCAAACCAAAUCUUCUAAACUUGAAAGAGAUGUGUUUAAAGGAUGAGGGAGGCUCACUUUGUCAUCUGACAAAAUCGAAAGAAAACUUUGUUCUUAGCACACUAAAGUCAAUUUUACUGACAGAAGCUGAAGACAGGCUCAACACCCUUCUGUCAGAGAUGGAACAUCCAAGCCAUAAGGACCUCUCUCAGUGUUGUGCUGGCGAACUGGAGAUUGUGGUGGAGGUCAGACUGCAGCUGGCUGCCAUUGCCCUGCAGAGACACCGGGCAGCAUACAGUGCUGCGAUAGUAUUUUCCACACUUAAACUUCUCCAGGAUUCAAAACUUUUUAAAAAGAAGGUAGUAGAAGAUGACUCAGAGAAUUGCACCUCUCCAGAAAGUUAUGUGACUGAAAGUAAAGACGACAAUUUUUUAGAUCCUAUUUCCCUAAAUUCUCGAGAAUAUUUCAACAUUCAUCUGUGGUUGAGGUGCCGCUUAGCCUUGGUGACUGCAUUUGUUGCCCAGAUUCGUGGCAUUGGAAUUGUGAAAGAAAACGAUAUAACGGAUUACGUGAGCCUUAUCAAUGAAGUGUGUGUGGAGGCAAAAGCUGCAGGUGACAGAGAGCUACAGGCUGAAUUCUUGAUGCAAGCUGUAAUUAUCGGCCUACAAGAAAAGCAUUUAAAGGCAGACAUCAUAAAAAGCCUUCAGGAGGUAAUACAGUUGCUUGAAGGACGUGACUUUAUUUCUCCUCGAUCUCAUUUAACCCUGGUGAGAAGUAUGCUUUUGCUGGAUGAUUUAACAAAAGCUGAGAAAUUCAAGGAAACUCCUUUUUCAAAAACAGAAAAAUUGUAUUUGUUGACUCAGUCUCACAACAUUCUUAUAGAACAGAUGAUAACUUUUGGAGAAACAAUUGAAUUGCCUUCAUCAAACACUGACUAUGCAAGUCCAUUACUGCCUUUGAAAAAUAUUUAUCUUCCUCACGUCAUGUUAUUGGCCAAAACAAAAAUGAGAAUUGGACAUACAGUGGCCAAGCAAGUAUAUUAUACCAGUAAAAAGAAGGAUCCUUCAAAGUGGUUACCUGCCCUUCAUUUUUUUGAAAUAGCUUUGAAGCUCGCUAGGACAUCAGGAACAGAAGAACAUGAGGUGGAAGCUGAAAUCUUUUUUCAGAAAGGCAAAAUAGAAUGUCAAAUAUUGAUGGAAGAGAAACCUCCAACUAUGCAACUUGAGAGUCUGUUUGAAGCUAUACAGCUAAGCUUGAGACAUGAUCAAAAUUCAGGGUUGAUAAGAGACUCCUACCUUGAAAUAGCCUUAUUACUUUUACACAUAAGGAAGUCAAAGAGCAAACUUCCAGUGUCACCAUUGACAACUAUUAAGGCUCUUCCCAGAAGGCAUAGUUCUACUAAAGAACCAAUAGUAAAUAAACAUGAAAUGUACAGUUUAUUUGCCUGGAUUGCAAUAAGAGCUGCUGCACAGGUCAGUGAGGCUGUGCUGGCAAUUAAUCUACUUAUUGGAAAGAAGAAUGCUAGAACUGAUAAAGUUAGCCAAGGAGCAUUAUCAAAUAUCCCAGAAUUUGCUUCCAUGGAUCUUUUUUCUUCAUACACAGAUUAUUUGCUUGAUAACUACCAAGUUGUCUUCCAGACUGGCUGUACAUUUUCUUACCUUAGUGAAGAGAUACAUGAGGAUGUAGAUUCUCAGAAAAGAAACCCAAUUAAAGUGGAUAUUACAUGGAUUCUUCUGCUGCGCUACUAUAUUCACCUACAAAGAAUUAAUAAUAUGAGCAAAUUGCUAGCAUCUCUGAAGCCAGGAUCUGGGAUGUCUUUGCCAGAUGACACUCUUCUCACUUCUCUUUUUAACUCUGGAUUGAUUUUGCGCCAAAAAGAAAUGCAUUUUUUCCUUAAAAGAUUCUUGCAGCUAUAUUCUUCAUCUUGUAUUGAUGAAUUUCCAAAAGAACUAUUUCAAGUCAUGGAAAGUCCACCUGUUCUAGAAAAAGUCUUAUAUGAUUCAGCAAGCAAGACAGGAGUAACUGAUGCUUCUCUACACUCCGAUUUAUCAUUAAAGAGCGUUACCAGCCCAUUGUAUGGAGACUCUGUGCCAUCAGUUGUGGUAACACAAGCUGUAAACAAAGAACUUUGUUUUCAGUGGUACAUUCCUCCCCUGGAAAAACCUCCAAAGGAAACAGAACCUAUGGUUUUAUUGUUGUAUGCAUAUAAUAUGAAGCCCCUGAAUAUUUCUGAUGUUGCGUCUACUGCUUGCAACAGUGUGUACGUAGGCUCUUUCUGGGUUCCACUAAAAAGAGUUAUUUCAGUUCAUGAGAAACUAUCUAAUCUUACGCAAAUUGCUGAAAUAUCAUUGCCAACAACUCCUAAAGUUACUUCAAAUGAAAAUUUACGUGAAGUAGAGGAAACAGAGGAGAAAUCCAUUGAUACAGAAAUGGAAAACAUGAUUAUUGUCUGUUGCAAUGAAAUAGUAUCUUUGUUUUUGGGUGAUGAGAUGGCAACUCCACUAUCUGAGGUCCCAUUUGAUGUCUCGCUGCCAUCUAUAUUCAGUCUGGAGAGACUUUUUGAUCUUGCUAGUGGCUGUAUCAUAUCAGGAGGAAGCCUUUUCAACUGGAUGGUGUCAAUUAUUCCCUGA